rnacentral:lncRNA from 1 species
AAUAUUAGUUGUCAGUAUCUCCGACUCAGAGAUGGAAAAGGAGAUACUCCUGCUGAUGAUAAAGAGAAAAAAGAACAAGUAGAUGACAUUACUGAUGAUGACCAAAGUGAGGAGAAAGGUGAUGACGAUGAGGUCAAAGAUGCUGAUAUUGCCAUUGCUCUUGGUAUUGUAGCUGAUACUGGUGCUACAGUCACUGAUGUUAAAGCACAAGAAACUGAUAAGGAAGAGCAGGAGGGAAAAGAGGAGGGAGAAGAACAGAUAAGGGGUGAAGAUGAGGAAGGUGAUGAUGCUAUUAUAGUAACAACACCUGUAGUUAGUUCCGAACCAGGUGGAGAUGAGACAACAGUGGUGGCUGAUGAAGAUGAUGGCUCUUCACCUGAGAAAGACAUAAGAACCCUGAAAGAAGAGGAGAAAGAUGAAAAGGAUGAAAGCGCAGAGAAAGUGGAAAUUGCAGAAAAAGCACCAAAACCAGAACUGAUCCCUAAAGCCGAGGAAGUGAAAGAAAAAGAAGCAGAGAAACCUGUGGCAAAGGCUGAAAAAGAAGACAAACAAAAAGAGCCCUCUCCCUGUCCUUGUAUGCAUUCAGUAUUACAAAAAGAGCCUCAAAAAGCCCAAGACACUAAACCAAAGGAAGAAAAAGCUGAACCCGAUAAAGUAAAGAAAAGAGCUAAAAGAGUCACCCUUGAGCACAAGAAAGCAGAGACUAAGAGAAGGGAACCCCUGCUUAAACAGAGAAAAGGUGCAGUAGCACUCUUUACAUCAAAGUUAUUAUUUUUUACUCAGAUCAGAAUAUUAAAUAUAGAUAGGCAUUUGUUUGUGGAAGAAUAUUGUACUGAAGUCUUUUUUUUUCACCUCCUCACUGACAUUUGCUCAUCAGAAAAAGAGGCUCCAAGAAGAACAAGACUAGAAAAAGCAAAGAAAGGUAAAAAAGAAAAAUCACAAUGUGUGCCUGCUUUUUUAUAUCAUCAUACCCUGAAAGACUUGUUUCAAAUGAUUUUUAUAAUCAUAGCGAUGAAUAUUGCAGAAUUUAAUUUGCUCUCUGCUUCACAGCUCCAAAAGCAAAGGCAGCGGCUGUCAACAUACCCAAAACGAGAAGUAAAUCCACAUGAUCUGAUCAUACUUUACUUCUUUAAAGGGAUAGUUCAUCCAUAA